rnacentral:rRNA from 1 species
AUUGAACGCUGGCGGCAGGCCUAACACAUGCAAGUCGAACGAGUGGCGGACGGGUGAGUAAUGUCUGGGAAACUGCCCGAUGGAGGGGGAUAACUACUGGAAACGGUAGCUAAUACCGCAUACCAUCGGAUGUGCCCAGAUGGGAUUAGCUUGGAGGUGAGGUAACGGCUCACCUAGGCGACGAUCCCUAGCUGGUCGGAGAGGAUGACGAGCCACAAUGGAAGUGAGACAGUGUCCAUACGCCGACGGUAGGGAGCAGUGGGGAAUAGUGCACAUUGGUCGCAAUCCUGAUGCAGCCAUGCGGCGUGUAUGAAGAAGGCCUUCGGGUUGUAAAGUACUUUCAGCGGUGAGGCGUUACCCGCAGAAGCAGCACCGGCUAACUCCGUGCCAGCAGCCGCGGUAAUUC